AACGAACGCUGGCGGCAGGCCUAACACAUGCAAGUCGAACGCUCGUAGCAAUACGAGAGUGGCAGACGGGUGAGUAACACGUGGGAACCUUCCCUAUGGUUCGGAAUAGCUCAGGGAAACUUGGGGGUAAUACCGGAUAAGCCCUUCGGGGGAAAGAUUUAUCGCCAUUGGAUGGGCCCGCGUCGGAUUAGCUAGUUGGU
rnacentral:rRNA from 1 species